rnacentral:lncRNA from 1 species
GGGGAGCGGGCUGGCGUGCGGCGCGCGUUAUAAAGCAGGAGGUGUUGGGCCCCGCAGACGCGUGGGAGAGUGAGGUCUUGCUGCUGGAGCUGAUACGCUGCCGCCAUGGAGCUCCUGGCAGCUGCCGAAAUAUUUCUGGAGGCCCCAGUGAGAUUCCAACCAUUCUGGCCUCUUGAGCCACCAGAGCCAGGGCGAGGCCGCGCGGGGGUUGGGGGAGCCCAAGGAGCGAACGAGGUGACUGUGCCACCUGAUGGUAUCCCGGGUCCUCCUUCGUGAGUGGUGUUCCUUACUUCUGGCCAGCCCAACCCCGACGGGACUCGGCGGAAGGCGUCCAGACAAGCUGCGGUCAAAAUUGCAGGUGUCCGUGGCUCCAUCACACCAGAAUAAAGAAGGCUGCUCCCACCGCUGACACAGAUGCCUGGGACACUGCCUGGCACAGUGAGAACCCCCUCAAGGUCAAGAUAUGUAGGCGCCCACCAUCGGAAAACAAUGAGCCCUGCUCUGCCCACACCUGGAAGCUCGUUGAACUGUGCCCUGGAAGCCAGAGGAUCUCCAUGCAAACUUGAACUGACGGGGACUGUUGGUAAUUGCCAUUGCCAUUGCCAUAGCCCUCGUGUUUGGAGUGGGGCUCUGUGCCGUAACCCCCUCGGGAUGGGGACAGGGAGCCCAGCUGCCUGUCUGUGCAGUGUGUCUCCUGACGGGCAGUGUGCUAGGAUCCCUGCUCCUACCAGGUCAGCGAGCAAAAUCAAGGGACUCACAGUCCUGUGAACACUCGCCCUGCUGCUCACUCCAGGGGCGACAGGCUGGAACAGGGCUGACUCAUGCCAGGCUGCCUGGAAACCACUACCCGGCUGGCUACCGGGAAUAGAUUUCAAGUUCGAAGAGUUACAUGAGGGGCCUCCGCCGCCCCCCUGAUAAAGCUACUGGGCUGAAACUCAGCCCUCCGAGCCAAGGCCCCGGCCUGGGCCAGGUGCUGAAUGCGGGGACUGCUGGCUCUGGCUGCCCAUCCAGAAGCCCCAGCCUACUGCUGUCCCGAUGAGCGUCCUCAGUGCCGCCAGGGAAGGCAAAGCCAGUUGGAUCCAAGAACCUAGGCCGAUAGGUGUAUGCAUGCCUCUCAGGGCCCUGAGGUGCCUUCAGAGCCUUGGGAAAGUGGUUCAGGAACUCCCAUGGAAUAGGUUUGAGGACAGCCCCAUGUAGACCCGUGACGCCGGAUGCGAGGACAUCUUGGUGUCGCCAUCGGGAAGGCUGUGGGCGGUUGUACCUCCUGCUGGAGUCUGUGUUCCAGUCUGAGAGCUGCUAGCUUGGCCUCUGUCCCUGAAGGUGUGUCUUCCAGCCAAGGGGCCGCCCCCCAUCCCCCACCUUGGCCGGGGCAGCACCCUGAGGACCGUGUCCAGGCCCUUCCUGAGGCGGAGCUAGCAGGCUGUGCUGUCCUGUCGGGGUGCGGCGAGGGCCCUCCCAGAACCAAGGGGAGGCAGCGCAGCGUGACCAGCAGCCUGACAGCAUCAGGGUCCACGUGCAACUUGGUGACAAAGACCAUCCUGCUGGGAUGUACAGAAUGGGGUUCUUCCAGGAGUCCAUCAGCCUGGCCGUCCUCUCUGUGAGCUCAGAAGAGACUGCCCCCGAGAUCGAUGCCAUGGGCAGCCCCCGCAGCAUGUUCCCAGGCUGGGGUCUAAUUGGAGCUGCAGCUGCCAGCCCACAGCAACGCUGGAUCUGAGCCGCAUCUGUGACCUCUACGUCAGCUUGCAGCAACACUGGAUCCUUAACCCACUGAGCGAGGCCAGGGAUCGAACCCCCGUCCUCAUGGAUGCUGGUCGGGUUCGUUACCAAGUUUGGCAGCCCCACCAGCCCCCUCGCUCCCGGGGGGGGCCUUGCCCCUCCAGCCUCCGCGCUGCUCUCCGCACAGAGCUGCCGUGGCCGUGGCUGAGCGAGCCCUGGGUGGGGCGAGCAACCUCUUCGACACACACAGCGCUCCUGGCCAUGGCGCAGCGCUUCCGGCAGAACCGCAGUGAACUCAUGACCACCUGGACCUGUGGGUCUAUGACGGGGGGAGGGGGGGCCCAGCCCUGUCCCUGGAUUCCGGGGAGCAGAUGCUGCGGGCGACCUGACCGGCGACACUGUCUUCAGCUACUGCUGCAAGGCUCUGCAAGACGCUGCUGGCCUGGCGCCAGCGCUGGAAGUCCUUCCUGCACUUGGAGACCACUGAGCCGCCCUCUGGCCCUGGAUCGCCAUGGAGGAGGGCUUCCAACUGGUGUGUGAGCUGGGCACGCUGGACUGGAUCUACCACGAGCCAAGCCCAAGUGCCUGGCUCCCAAAGACAUGCCUGUGGCGGUGCCUACUGACGGCCGCGCCCUCGGAGCUGUCCCUCUCCCUGGUCAGCCUGCUGGUCAAGGGCAUGACGGUGCUGAAGAUCCAGACCAUGGCCGCCAAGCUCCUGCUGGGGCCCAACCCGAUGAACACAAAUCGUGGGCUGGCUGCUGAGCCGCGGUGUGUCCAGGGAGCGGGUGGACCGGUGAACCACCAGGGUCCUCCUGGAGCUGCCCAUCAAAGGGGCCAAGCACAGCCGGGGCUGAGGCCCCCCACGUGCUGGUGGAGGAGCAGCCCCUGCCUCCCCGGUCCUCUGACCAGGCCUGCAGGGAGGAGCUGCAGUGCACCAGGACUACGCACCCCACAAUCCAGGCCACUUUCUGCUUGGUGCUGGGAGUGGAGCAGGGGCCCAUGUCGGAGAGACACAAAGUCUUGGCCAAAGCGCCUCCUGAUCGUCCCCAGGAUAGACAGAGGGACAGCACCCCCAGCUCCAGCCAUCUCCUGCCAGGCCAGACCCUGACCACGCAUCCUGAAAACCUCGGAGAGGGUCCUUGCCCCCGCCGCCGUGGGCAUCACUGGCCUGAGCUGGUGGAGAGCAGCCAGUUGGCUGGCGUUGCUGGUUGAGGGGAGAGAGUCCGUUAAAUAUUUCAGUCUGUUACACCUUAGCCUGAUAAGCGGGGUGGGUGGGCACCCACCGUUGUGCCACACGGGCCCCCAACGCACUACAGGCCAAGCUUGAGACCCCGCAUCCCACCCCGCAAAAGCACCUUCAAGUUUGUGCCCUUGCCCUUGAGGUUUUUUCUUUAACGCGGUGGCUGUACCUGAUACUUGACUUUAGGCGUGUGCGGCGCUUGGGUUUAGUGUCCUCACUACUGCUUUUGUGAUGGUUUUUCUCUAAGUUGUUUUUUUUGUUUGUUUUUUUUGCAAUGCCCUUUUCUUGAAAUGGAAUUUUUUUGCCUUUUGCUUUCCUGGGAAAAGGGCAGCCAGUCCCUUCCAGUUUCUCUCGCUGCACGCGUGGCUGGAGUGUCUGCAUCACCAGAGUUCCAGCAUUGUGAGGAUGGACAGCCGUGGCAGGUGGUGCCGGACACCAUUAAAGAGCCCAUGUGCUGCU